AUGCCUCAAAGAUGGAAAGUUUGCAAUUAUCUAUUUAAAUUGGGUGGUUUAACCCUGGUGAUGACUGUGCCAGACACUGCCGCCUACUUCACCACCCAGGACCAACUCAAGGCCUUCCUGUGUGGUCGAGCCCUGACCUCUGACCUCUACGCUCCCAUGGUGGCUGUCGCACUGGCCUGCCUGGGCACCGUGACUGUGAUCAGAUCCCUAGAGCUGGUGCGGACAAAGCUGCAGGCUCAGCACCUAUCAUACCGGGAGCUGGGCACCUGUGUCCGAGCAGCUGUGGCUCAGGGUGGCUGGCACUCACUCUGGCUGGGCUGGGGUCCCACUGCCCUUCGGGAUGUGCCCUUCUCAGCUCUGUACUGGUUCAACUAUGAACUGGUGAAGAGCUGGCUGAGUGGGCUCAGGCCAAAGGACCAGACCUCCGUGGGCAUCAGCUUUGUUGCUGGCGGCAUCUCAGGGAUGGUGGCGGCCACCCUGACUUUACCCUUCGACGUGGUGAAGACUCAGCGCCAGGUCGCGCUAGGAGCAGUGGAGGCUGUGAGAGUGAUGCCCCCGUACACCGACUCCACGUGGCUGCUGCUCCGGAGGAUCCUGGCCAAGUCAGGCACCAGGGGCCUCUUUGCAGGCUUCCUCCCAAGGAUCAUCAAGGCCACCCCUUCCUGCGCCAUCAUGAUCAGCACUUAUGAGUUCCGCAAAAGCUUCUUCCAGAGGCUCAACAGGGAACAGCUUCUGAGCCCUUGAAAGGAGUGAGGGACAAGGACCCUACCUCUUCCAUGGACAGGGUGGGGCAGGAGGAGACUGAGCCAAGUGCCUUUUCCUUCAGCACUGAGGGGAGGGGCCUCAUUUCUCUUUCCACCCCACUCAGCCCCAGGGGUAGGGGAAUGCCCCUCUGCACCCACCCAGAGCACCCCCCCAACCCCCGACUGCCUCUUGCUGUUCCCCAUUCCCCAGCCAGAGAAUCAUCACUCUCUCCCCUCAAGUUCAAGACCAAAUCUGCUCACUUCUCCCCUCAUUUCCCUGUGGGUUUGCUGUAAGUGAGCCUGUCUCUAGGAGCCACAAAACCCUGGGCCUGGCAUAGUCUGCAUGCACCCCUGUUAAUUUGUUGAGUCUAAAGAUGAUAAACUUC